AUUGAACGCUGGCGGCAUGCUUUACACAUGCAAGUCGAACGGUAACAGGGUGCUUGCACCGCUGACGAGUGGCGAACGGGUGAGUAAUGCGUCGGAACGUGCCGAGUAGUGGGGGAUAACUAAGCGAAAGCUUGGCUAAUACCGCAUACGCCCUGAGGGGGAAAGCUAGGGAUCUUCGGACCUGGCGUUAAUGGAGCGGCCGAUAUCUGAUUAGCGAGUUGGUGGGGUAAAGGCCCACAAAGGCGACGAUCAGUAGCUCGUCUGGAGAGGACGACCAGCCACACUGGAACUGAGACACGGUCCAGACUCCUACGGGAGGCAGCAGUGGGGAAUUUUGGACAAUGGGCGCAAGCCUGAUCCAGCCAUUCCGCGUGAGUGAAGAAGGCCUUCGGGUUGUAAAGCUCUUUCGCAAGGGAAGAAACGAUACCGGUGAAUAUCCGGUGUUAAUGACGGUACCUUGAUAAGAAGCACCGGCUAACUACGUGCCAGCCGCCGCAGUAA
rnacentral:rRNA from 1 species